CCCUCUUCGGCUCUCAGCCAGCUUGCCUUCAAGAUCCUCAUCUAGACAAGGCUUAAAUUUGGCUUAACUGUUGGCUCCAGCAUUACCGUUUCACAAGGACGGAGGUGCAGCCUGUGUGGUGAUCCUUGCCAGGCGAAGGCACCAGGAAGAAUCCUUAUCCAAUGACGGGGACCCUAAAACUUGCCCGCACUCUUUUAACAUUUCUUACUUCAGGAGGUGUCCGGCCUCAGAAAAUGCUGCUCCAAAGUCCUUUGGAUGGAAUUGAAUGAGACCUAGAGGAUUCACAAGGAAUCUCCAUUUUGAAGAUGGUGGCAGAUUCAAGAUCAGAAGUCUCACAGAGAGGGCUCCUGCUGAACGCCUGGGAGAAGAAUAGACCAGAAGGAGGCUGGACACAGAGGCUGUGUGGGGCCACUCCAGCCUAUCACCAGGACACCUAAGCCUUCUGUCCAGUUGUGCUUUACACUGUCCUCCAGGCUUCCAAACAGUUUUCAUUGAGUCUUUGGAUGCUCAUUUCUGAAGCCACAUUAAAUCGAGGCUACUUCCUCUUA